CCUACGGGAGGCAGCAGUGGGGAAUAUUGCACAAUGGGGGAAACCCUGAUGCAGCGACGCCGCGUGAGUGCAGAAGUAAUUCGUUAUGUAAAGCUCUAUCAGCAGGGAAGAAAAUGACGGUACCUGAGUAAGAAGCCCCGGCUAACUACGUGCCAGCAGCCGCGGUACUACGUAGGGGGCAAGCGUUAUCCGGAUUUACUGGGUGUAAAGGGAGCGUAGACGGCAGUGCAAGUCUGGAGUGAAAGGCGGGGGCUCAACCCCCGGACUGCUCUGGAAACUGUACGGCUAGAGUGCAGGAGAGGUAAGUGGAAUUCCUAGUGUAGCGGUGAAAUGCGUAGAUAUUAGGAGGAACACCAGUGGCGAAGGCGGCUUACUGGACUGUAACUGACGUUGAGGCUCGAAAGCGUGGGGAGCAAACAGGAUUAGAUACCCCAGUAGUC
rnacentral:rRNA from 1 species